rnacentral:rRNA from 1 species
UAGGGAAUCUUCCGCAAUGGACGAAAGUCUGACGGAGCAACGCCGCGUGAGUGAAGAAGGAUUUCGGUUCUUAAAACUCUGUUGUUAGGGAAGAAAAAAUGUAUAGUAACUAUAUACAAAAGAGACGGUACCUAACCAGAAAGCCACGGCUAACUACGUGCCAGCAGCCGCGGUAAUACGUAGGUGGCAAGCGUUGUCCGGAAUUAUUGGGCGUAAAGCGCGCGCAGGUGGUUUAGAAAGUCUGAUGUGAAAGCCCACGGCUCAACCGUGGAGGGUCAUUGGAAACUAAUAAACUUGAGUGCAGGAGAGAAAAGUGGAAUUCCUAGUGUAGCGGUGAAAUGCGUAGAGAUUAGGAGGAACACCGGUGGCGAGAGCGGCUUUUUGGCCUGCAACUGACACUGAGGCGCGAAAGCGUGGGGAGCAAACAGG